rnacentral:lncRNA from 1 species
UCAGCAUAUCCUGGAUGAAUCAAUUUUGUCUCGAUUUAAGAUACCGCAAAUGGAGCCAUACGAUGGCUCCACCGAUCCUAUCAACCAUUUGGAGAGCUAUAAAGCUCUCAUGAUGAUUCAAGGGGCAACCGACGUCCUCUUAUGCAUAGGCUUUCCAGCAAUUAUUCGAAAAGUUGCUCAAGUCUGGUGUUUCGAACUUC